rnacentral:miRNA from 1 species
AAAGGUGGUGGGCUGCGGAGCAUG